rnacentral:rRNA from 1 species
CCUACGGGAGGCAGCAGUGGGGAAUAUUGCACAAUGGGGGAAACCCUGAUGCAGCAACGUCGCGUGAGUGAAGACGUAUCUCGGUAUGUUAAGCUCCUUCUGCAGGGAAGAAGAUGACGGUACCUGCUUAAUAAGCCCCGUCCAACUACGUGCCAGCAGCCGCGGGAAUACGUCGGGGGCAAGCGUUAUCCGGAUUUACCGGGUGUAAAGGGAGCGUAGACGGCAGUGCAAGUCUGUAGUGAAAGCCCGGGGCCCAACCCCGGAACUGCACUGGAAACUGUGCGGCUAGAGUGCAGGAGAGGCAGGCGGAAUUCCUAGUGUAGCGGUGAAAUGCGUAGAUAUUAGGAGGAACACCAGUGGCGAAGGCGGCCUGCUGGACAGUAACUGACGUUGAGGCUCGAAAGCGUGGGGAGCAAACAGGAUUAGAUACCCCAGUAGUC